AACGAACGCUGGCGGCAUGCCUAACACAUGCAAGUCGAACGAGACCUUCGGGUCUAGUGGCGCACGGGUGCGUAACGCGUGGGAACCUGCCCUUAGGUUCGGAAUAACUCCCCGAAAGGGGUGCUAAUACCGGAUAAUGUCUUCGGACCAAAGAUUUAUCGCCUUUGGAUGGGCCCGCGUUGGAUUAGCUAGUUGGUAGGGUAAAAGCCUACCAAGGCGACGAUCCAUAGCUGGUCUGAGAGGAUGAUCAGCCACACUGGGACUGAGACACGGCCCAGACUCCUACGGGAGGGAGCAGUGGGGAAUAUUGGACAAGGGGCGAAAGCCUGAUCCAGCAAUGCCGCGUGAGUGAUGAAGGCCGUAGGGUUGUAAAGCUCUUUUACCCGGGAUGAUAAUGACAGUACCGGGAGAAUAAGCACCGGCUAACUCCGUG
rnacentral:rRNA from 1 species